GACGAACGCUGGCGGCAUGCUUAACACAUGCAAGUCGAAGGGGAAGGCCUUGCUUCUGUGGCGUGCUCAAGUGGCGAGGGGGUUAAUAACACGUGAAUAACCUGCCCAGGCCUUUAGAAUAACUUGAAGCAACUGGGGAUAACACCGGAUGGGAGGCCCUCCUGCAUGGAGGGGGUUGGAAAGUUUCGGCGGUUGGGGAUGGACUCGCGGAUUAUCAGCUUGUUGGUGGGGCAGUGGCUUACCACGACUUUGACGGGCAGCCGGCCUGAGAGGGUGACCGGCCACAUUGGGACAGUGAGAUGGGCCAGUCUCCUACGGGAGACAGCAGUGUGGGAUAUUGUACAAUGGGCGGAAGCCUCAUGCAGCAAAGCCGUGUGUGGGAUGACGGCCUUCGGGUUGUAAACCGUGCUUGCAUGUGACAAAGAGUGAAUGACGGUAACUGGAAAAGAAGCGCCGGCUAACUACGUG
rnacentral:rRNA from 1 species